GGACUGAGAGCGCGAGGCUUCGGGACUGAGCCCUAGCUGCUGCGCUGGCCGAAGUUUUCUCGUCGGUAAAAUAGGAUAACAGUGCACCAUAGGGUCGUUUUGAUAAAGAAGAAAGGUAGGGCACUUAACACAGUUCCUGGUAAAGAGAGUUCAAAUGAAAGUGAAGGAGGCCGGGCGCGGUGGCUCUCACCUGCAGUCCCAAGCACUCUGGGAGGCCUGUAAGGUGCCUGUAAUCCCAGCUCCUCGGGAUGCUGAGGCAGGAGAAUCGCUUGAACCCGAGAAGUGAAGGUUGCAGUGAUCCGAGAUCGCACCACUGCACUCCAUCCUGGGCGACAGAGCGAGACCCUGUCUCGAAAAAAAAGUUAAGGUUUUUUUGGGGGAAAGAGCGCAAAGGUUUUCCGGGAGCGGUGGCCUUCAUGAUCAUUUGAAACAAA
rnacentral:lncRNA from 1 species